CCUACGGGUGGCAGCAGUGGGGAAUAUUGGUCAAUGGGCGCAAGCCUGACCCAGCAACGCCGCGUGAAGGAAGAAGGCUUUCGGGUUGUAAACUUCUUUUGUCAGGGAAGAGUAGAAGACGAUACCUGACGAAUAAGCCACGGCUAACUACGUGCCAGCAGCCGCGGUAAUACGAAGGUGGCAAGCGUUGUCCGGAUUUACUGGGUGUAAAGGGCGUGUAGGCGGGUUGACAAGUCAGAUGUGAAAUCCUGCGGCUUAACCGCAGAUCUGCAGUUGAAACUGUGGAUCUUGAGUACUGGAGAGGCAGACGGAAUUCGUGGUGUAGCGGUGAAAUGCGUAGAUAUUAGGAGGAACACCAGUGGCGAAGGCGGUCUGCUGGACAGCAACUGACGGUGAGGCGCGAAAGCGUGGGGAGCAAACAGGAUUAGAUACCCCGGUAGUC
rnacentral:rRNA from 1 species